rnacentral:rRNA from 1 species
UACGUAGGGUGCAAGCGUUAUCCGGAUUUACUGGGCGUAAAGAGUUCCGUCGGCGUCUUUGUAAGUUGCUUGUUUAAGCCUAGGGCUCAACUCUAGAUCAGCAAGCAAAACUACAAGGAUUGAGUCUGUUUGGAGAAGCUAGAAUUCUCGGUGGAGGGGUGAAAUCCGUAGAUAUCGAGAGGAAUACCAGUCGCGAAGGCGGGCUUCUAAAACAGUACUGACGCUCAGGGACGAAAGCUUGGGUAGCAAA